rnacentral:lncRNA from 1 species
CAGGCGCAAACCCUGUGCCCCCACAAGGCGCUCCACAAGCUCCAAAGAGACUUAAAACCUAAAGCUACACUGGCUGACAAGGUUCUUGGGGCAAAGAACCCCUAAGUUUAUUCUCACAUCCAUAAAGGGGGUGUUGAGAAACACCAGUCCGGACUAAUGUGUAUUCCAGGGGGAUGCACCUUCGCGUUGAGAGCAGUAUAUAGGUCCGCUUCCACGUCCUCCGCAGUGAUGCCCGCAGCAUGCGCCUUGUCCUUAGAGUACAGCGGGCAUUAUGCGACGUCCACAGCAGCCUGUAUGUCCCAGAGCCCGCAACUUGGGUGGUUUGUAUGUUUCCGCGCUCUUAUUAUGUAAAUUAUGGUGGAUUUGGUUUCCCAUAAAGUUUGUCUGCAUGAAUAGUAGGCGGACGUCCAGUUGAAUACGUUCCGUUGCCUGGAGUGCCGUCCACGCACCGUGAUCGAAAUUCAUUGCCUGCAACUCCUCGGCCACGCUACAGAUCACACACAGGCCGUCAUUCGAGGCUAAUGCACUAUGAAGUUCGUUGGGCUGCGGUGGCCUGCACAGCGCGAACAUGUUGCGGAUUUGUGCUUCUUGAGAAGCAGGACCGGAUACAAAGCACAUCUGCCUUUCAGAAGUUCGUCACAAGUACUUAAACAUUUCAGGGACACUGCG